GGGUCUGUAGCUCAGCUUGGUUAGAGCGCACCCUGAUAAGGGGUAGGUCGGAAGUUCAAGUCUUCCCAGACCCACCA
rnacentral:tRNA from 1 species